rnacentral:rRNA from 1 species
AUUGAACGCUGGCGGCAUGCCUUACACAUGCAAGUCGAACGGUAACGCGGGGCAACCUGGCGACGAGUGGCGAACGGGUGAGUAAUGUAUCGGAACGUGCCCAGUCGUGGGGGAUAACGCAGCGAAAGCUGCGCUAAUACCGCAUACGAUCUAUGGAUGAAAGCGGGGGACCGUAAGGCCUCGCGCGAUUGGAGCGGCCGAUGUCAUAUUAGGUAGUUGGUGGGGUAAAGGCUCACCAAGCCAACGAUCUGUAGCUGGUCUGAGAGGACGACCAGCCACACUGGGACUGAGACACGGCCCAGACUCCUACGGGAGGCAGCAGUGGGGAAUUUUGGACAAUGGGCGCAAGCCUGAUCCAGCAAUGCCGCGUGCAGGAAGAAGGCCUUCGGGUUGUAAACUGCUUUUGUACGGAACGAAACGGUCCUGGUUAAUACCCGGGGCUAAUGACGGUACCGUAAGAAUAAGCACCGGCUAACUACGUGCCAGCCGCCGCAGUAAUAC